rnacentral:misc_RNA from 1 species
AAGUCGUAAAGGUUUCCGAUCAUUAACAACAGAUCCUAACUUAAAAACCCUGUGAACUUUCAACCCCAAACUGCUUGACCUCAGAAAUCUCUGGUAAAUCAUAGUGAACAACUUUGAGUCAGAGACCUCUGAAUAACCUUGCGCGGUCAAGUGACCCGGUACCCUCAAGAGCAGGUUCAAUGAUCUGUCAGUGUUCAUUGACUGGAAUCGACACGGCCGGCGACUGGUUAACAAUGGAUAUCUCGAUUCUC